GCAGUGAGCCCAGAUCGCGCCACUGCACUCCAGCCUCGGCGACAGAGCGAGACUCCGUCUCAAAAAUAAAUAGGUCCACCCCCGGGAAGCUUCCAGACCCGGCGCCCCGGCCCUGCCCCGCUCUCACACGAACACGUCCCCGUCCACGUCCCCUGCAGCCAGUAGGUCACGGGCCGGAUGGAACGCCAGCCCACUAGCCGGAGCUUCCAGCACGAUGUCUUCCGGAGUGUCCCGGAUCCGGGUUGGGGCUUCCAUGGAGUCUGGGUCCUCCUCGUCGCUCCCAUCCUCAGCGGGCCUCUCCUCACAAGUGCGGUCCAUGCUGAGAAGGACUGCGAGCCGCGCCGCCGCAGGGUAGUCAGCCUCGGAACCACCCACACUGCGGGAGGAGUAGCCUGGCACUCCGCUUCCGCCUCGGGGGGCGGGGCCGGAAGUGUCUCCGGGACGUUCUUCCUCUUACAGGAGAGGUGGGUGGGCCGCUGCUGGUGCGGGUGGAGCGGAGCGAAGAGACCGCAUCUGGGAGAUCGGCUACUUCCUUGUCCUGCUGUGACCCCGUUUGGGCUAGGUAGACGGUGCGACCGUCAAUUCCCUCCCUAGUCACGUCACGUAAAGUUGAGAACUGCGUGUAAAUCUUUCCUCUCCUACUUCAUCCAGACAGGCUUAAUGCCCUUGGGAUAGGAGAGAGGGACGCUAGUCCUUCGUGGCUUGGUGAAACCCAAGAUCAAGUCAAGCGACAGCCUGGGCUGUCAGGAAGCCGCAAAAUCCCACGCUGCGCGAUGACAUACGGGAGUCUGGGACAGCAGGCAGCUCAAGCAGCUGGUGUCCACGCCCCUAACGUCUUUGUGGCCAGUUUGCUGUGCCAGUUCCUACAAUUUGUCUACAGAAACUCAAUGGGCUGGACAAGCAGUGCUCAGUUACCAAGAAUUUUUUUUUCUUUUUUGUUUUGCUUUGUUUUGAGACAGGGUCUUGCGCUGUCGCGCAGGCUGGAGUGCAGUGGCACGAUCACCGCUCGGCUCAAGCGAUCCUCCGAGUAGCUGGAACUACAGGCACGCGGCACCACGCCUGGCUAAUUUUUAUUUAUUUAUUGAGACGGAGUCUCGCCCUGGCUGGAGUGCAAUGGUGCGAUCUCGGCUCACUGCAACCUCCGUCUCCCGGGUUCAAGAGAUUUUCCUGCCUCAGCCUACCGAGUAGAUGGGACUAGAGGCGCAUGCCACCACGCCCAGCUAAUUUUUUGUAUCUUUAGUAGAAACAGGGUUUCACCAUGUUGGCCAGGCUGGUCUCAAACUCCUGACCUCGUGAUCCGCCCGCCUUGGCCUCCCAAAGUGCUGGGACUACAGGCGUGAGCCACCGCACCUGGCCAAUUUUUGUAUAUUUUGUAGAAACGAGGACUCAGUAUGUUGCCCAGGCUGGCCUUGAACUCUUGACGUGUCUUCCCACCUCAGCCUCCCAAAGUGCUAGGAUUAUAGGCGUGAGCCACGGCGCCCAGCCCCUGAAUUUCUUUUUUUAAAUCAAGGUCUUGCUCUGUCACCCAGGCUCAGAAUGCAGUGGUGUGAUCAUAGCUCACUACAGCCUUGAACUCUUCGGUUCGAUCCUCCUGCAUAGCUAUAGACUCAUGAACUCCUGGCCUCAAGAGACUCUCCUGCUUUGGCCUCCCAAAGCACUGAGACUGUGGGCAUGAGCCAUCGAGCCUGGCCUCAGAAACUGAAUUUCAAACCCACAAUCUCCAGGUCUUGCUUUUAGUGACUCUCCAGAUGUCUUCACCUGUGCCAUGUCUCUGUGACCAUUUUUAAUAAUUGGGACUGCCUACCUACAUCCAUAGAACCAUGGUGUCAUUUGUCUGAAAUUAGCCAUUCUAGGUGCUAUUGCAGCAAGGCCCAAUUUCAGCCUCUUACAUGCCAUGCACAAUACUGGCUUCCUCACAAAAACCUGUCCUACCAAGGUGAAUAUAAUCAAAGACAAGGUAAUGGCUAAGGUGACUUUCUAGCUUUCUUGGAUCUGGUGAGGCCACAAAUCUUGGGCUCAGGGUAGACAGUGGCAGCGUGGCAUCCAGCCAGGAAGCAGUAGUGACACCUAAUGAUGAGCACCAGGCCAAAGUGCUGGUAAUGAGCAGAAGGGAAGAAAAGGGAAGGGAAUGGUGUGAUUCAAAGGUCAACAGACCUAUUCUGGGCCUUGGCAAAUGUUUCAGGGUGAUGAAGGGCACCAAACCCUUCUGGUCUAGGAUAGGAAUUCCUGUACCUGCAGGGCCACACUAUAUCAGCUCUAAACCCAAAGCACUUCCCUAAGGUUACACCUUUAGCCAAGGAGACAGUGAUUUGUACUCAACAUUAAUAAAGCUCAUAGUACAUAAACUCAUAAAAGGUUUUGGUUCCCACCCAUAAGUGAUUUUCAUUAGAUGCCUUCAUCCAGAGCCCAGUCCUUCAUAGCCUGGAGAUCAGAUUAGCAGCCCAUCAGGCUGACAGCAAUCCCCAGGAAAUCUUUCCCCAGGGACUAGGCCUGAAGAUGGGCCGGAAUGAGUCUGACAUUUGAGACCAAUCAUACUUACAUUCCUCUAUCCACCUCUUGCCCAUCAGUGAGGAUCAUUAUUCUCUUCUCUACUGGGCACACUGGCUAGAGAGCAUCCUUACUGUCUAGGAAUCUAGAACCACAGCUCAGGAAAGGACUGAUGACUUUCUGCAUGUGAUUUUACACAACCAGUGGAAUUAGUGUUCUUGGUGCUUCAAGGGCACUGGAGGGGACAUGCUCAACAAAGAAAAUAGCAAGUUAACCAAUUUUAAUGGAACCAAGUAAUUACACAAUAAAAUUUUAUAUUCAUCCACAAAAAAA